rnacentral:rRNA from 1 species
GAUGAACGCUAGCUACAGGCUUAACACAUGCAAGUCGCGGGGUAACAUCUGGUAGAGCUUGCUCUUCCAGGAUGACGACCGGCGCACGGGUGAGUAACGCGUAUCCAACCUGGCCCAUACCACGGGAUAGCCCGUCGAAAGGCGGAUUAAUACCGUAUGCUGUCAUUAAGAUGCAUUUUUUGAUGACGAAAGGACUGGCGGUAUGGGAUGGGGAUGCGUCUGAUUAGCUUGUUGGCGGGGUAACGGCCCACCAAGGCGACGAUCAGUAGGGGUUCUGAGAGGAAGGUCCCCCACAUUGGAACUGAGACACGGUCCAAACUCCUACGGGAGGCAGCAGUGAGGAAUAUUGGUCAAUGGGCGAGAGCCUGAACCAGCCAAGUAGCGUGCAGGAUGACGGCCCUAUGGGUUGUAAACUGCUUUUAUACGGGGAUAAAGUGAGCCACGUGUGACUUAUUGCAGGUACCGUAUGAAUAAGGACCGGCUAAUUCCGUGCCAGCA